CCUUAGUAACGGCGAGUGAAGCGGCAAAAGCUCAAAUUUGAAAUCUAACACUUUCAGUGUUCGAGUUGUAAUUUGAAGAAAGUUUCUCUGAAUAGUCCUUUUUCUAUGUUCCUUGGAACAGGACGUCAUAGAGGGUGAGAACCCCGUUUGAUUUUGGAUACUAUUCUUUGUGAGAUUCUUUCGAAGAGUCGAGUUGUUUGGGAAUGCAGCUCUAAGUGGGUGGUAAAUUCCAUCUAAAGCUAAAUAUUGGCGAGAGACCGAUAGCGAACAAGUACAGUGAUGGAAAGAUGAAAAGAACUCUGAAGAGAGAGUGAAAAAGUACGUGAAAUUGCUGAAAGGGAAGGGCUUUAGGUUAGACUUGAUGUUUAAUGAUUAUCAUUCCUUCUGGGAUGUGCACUCGUUUUUCAUUGGGCCAAUAUCAGUUUUGGAGACAAAGUACCUUUUGGAAUGUGGCUUCCUUCGGGAGGUGUUAUAGCCUUAAGACGAUUUGUUUCUGGGACUGAGGACUGCGCUUUGUGCUAGGAUAUUGGCGUAAUAACCUUAAGCCGC
rnacentral:rRNA from 1 species